rnacentral:misc_RNA from 1 species
UCCGGUUUGUCACCGGCAGUCCCAUUAGAGUGCCCAACUGAAUGUGGCAACUAAUGGCAAGGGUUGCGCUCGUUGCGGGACUUAACCCAACAUCUCACGACACGAGCUGACGACAGCCAUGCAGCACCUGUGUCCAGGUUCCCUUUCGGGCACACUCCCAUCUCUGGGAGCUUCCUGGCAUGUCAAGGGUAGGUAAGGUGGGGAUGACGUGUCCUUGAUAGG